rnacentral:rRNA from 1 species
UACGAAGGGGGCUAGCGUUGCUCGGAAUCACUGGGCGUAAAGGGUGCGUAGGCGGGUCUUUAAGUCAGGGGUGAAAUCCUGGAGCUCAACUCCAGAACUGCCUUUGAUACUGAGGAUCUUGAGUUCGGGAGAGGUGAGUGGAACUGCGAGUGUAGAGGUGAAAUUCGUAGAUAUUCGCAAGAACACCAGUGGCGAAGGCGGCUCACUGGCCCGAUACUGACGCUGAGGUGCGAAAGCGUGGGGGAGCAAACAGG